GUGGAAGAGCGGGUAGCAGGGAAUGAUCGAAUUAAUUGAUAAUUUCAGGAAAGUCCGAACUUCAAAGAGCAGUAUGCUUCUUAACAAGAAGAUAGUGCAAACUAUGGAAAGUGCCACAGAAAAUACACAGCCAAUCCUGGAGCAAUCCGCAAUGGAGGCAAUGGUGAAAUGGUAGAGUAAGUGCCUACCGCCGAGUUGGUGACAAUUCGGGCAUGGUAAACCCCAUACGAAGCAAGGCUAAGUAGGUCUGCAUCGCUCAAAUUAAAUUAUAGAAGUGGUCGAGUCAGCUCGCUCGAUUGUCUUUUUAGACUGUGCAGAUGGGUAAGCUGCUUAAGUGCUAUGGCAACAUAACAUUGAGAUAAAUUGCUACCUCGGAGAUUUUUAUUAUUAUUAUUUUUUAUUAAAUAAUAAUAAUGAAUUUUUCUAUGACAGAAUUCGGCUUAAAGCUCUUCCACUAUU
rnacentral:RNase_P_RNA from 1 species